rnacentral:misc_RNA from 1 species
GUAGGUGAACCUGCGGAAGGAUCAUUAACACGAAAUUUUAUAUCCAAUAUUCAAAAACCCAACGUGAACUUUUCCCCUCCCUAUUUCAAACUAUAUAUAUCCUAAUUUAUUAGUACAUGCUAUAGCUUUUUGAUUUAGGCUAACAUUUUAUUAAAAUUUUUUAACACCUUUUAAUUUUAUAAGUCCAUUGGUUAACAAACCUCUAGACUAAACUAACUAAAAAUUUUACUUAAGAUGUGCCAACUUUUAU